UACGUAGGGUGCAAGCGUUAAUCGGAAUUACUGGGCGUAAAGCGUGCGCAGGCGGUGAUGCAAGACAGAGGUGAAAUCCCCGGGCUCAACCUGGGAACUGCCUUUGUGACUGCAUAGCUAGAGUACGGUAGAGGGGGAUGGAAUUCCGCGUGUAGCAGUGAAAUGCGUAGAUAUGCGGAGGAACACCGAUGGCGAAGGCAAUCCCCUGGACCUGUACUGACGCUCAUGCACGAAAGCGUGGGGAGCAAACAGG
rnacentral:rRNA from 1 species